rnacentral:sRNA from 1 species
UUGUAGCCCUGAUAGUAGUGAAAAUCCUUUUUGGAGGCUUUUUUGGCCUACAAAAAGAUUGUAACGGAUAGCAGGAAAUAGC